AGGCUUCGUGCAUUAAUGACAGAGGCAGAGCUACCUGCAUGCAUCACUGCUUGAGCAGACAGAGCACAAGGCACACAAAAUGUUUUUCAGCCGAUAUCCCCAGUUGCAACAAGACCUGCUUGCAGCUUAUGUUCAUUGGCAUCACAGGACAAACUUGUUCAUGGAUAUGAAGCAGUGCCUGCUGCCUCACCCUCAGCGUAACUCUAGAUAUGAAGAAAGCCUCCCUGCUGUUUUGGCUCGUGUAUUACACUAGGCAAGCAGAACACUUCAGACCUACCAGCAUACCCACAGCAGACUACGACAGUCUUUCAGAUGGCACGUGGCAGAAGCUAUGCACCAACAUCACACUUCAGACAAGGCAAAAUGAAAAAGAGAGGCAAGAAGCAGGGGGCAUCUACAGAGGCCUAAGCAGAUCAGGGCAGCAACACAAGCACAACUUCUCUUCCCAACAGAAAGAGUGAUGGGGACAGAGCACGGGCGGUGUAGGCCCCUAGAGGCAGAAAGGCCUCUUACGGCAUGAAGGAGGAUGACGUGUCGGUCUUGUGGACGCACUGGAAAGUUUGACACCUGCCCCUCUGUCCUGCCACACCAAUACUCUGCUCUGACCAAGUUUUGCCUGGAUCAGAAGAGCAGCCACAGCAACGGCCAACUGUGUUUUUGUUUCGCUUCUGUCUUCUCACCACCUGGGAAACGCAGCUAAGUAAGAACAGCUACACAGCCCUAUGCGAUGCUUUACCAAAGCAGCACAGUCAAGGCCAAAGGAUCUUAAAAUCCCAGGGACCAAAUGCUUCCUGUCAGCAGGCCUGGAGGCGACCGUCACUUUCGGCAGGGUCAUCAGAAAACAACUGCGUCCCAAGGUCUGAAGGAAGGAACAUGAGCCCGAGACGGAUAUUGAAGGGAAGCCGAAGAGGCAGCGAGAAAAGGAUGAGGGCUUAGAUUCGAGGAGAGCGCAUUUACUACUGGCCGAGCUUGUUACUGUUUUGGUGCAGUUAGCUCCUGUCUGUCACUCUCAAUAAAACUGUUAUUGAUUAGCAUGUGA